AUCUCUGUGCUAGGGGUAAUGACGCAGCUAGUGAGGUUCUAACCGAGGCACGUCUAUUGCUGGUUGAAAACUAUUUCCAAACCCUCUCUUCGGCCUAGGUUCAGCCUAGGCUGUCGAGAAUUUCCGGAAGGGCUACCCACGUGGUAAAGCC